UACGUAGGUCCCGAGCGUUGUCCGGAUUUAUUGGGCGUAAAGCGAGCGCAGGUGGUUUAUUAAGUCUGGUGUAAAAGGCAGUGGCUCAACCAUUGUAUGCAUUGGAAACUGGUAGACUUGAGUGCAGGAGAGGAGAGUGGAAUUCCAUGUGUAGCGGUGAAAUGCGUAGAUAUAUGGAGGAACACCGGUGGCGAAAGCGGCUCUCUGGCCUGUAACUGACACCGAGGCUCGAAAGCGUGGGGAGCAAAUAGG
rnacentral:rRNA from 1 species